rnacentral:pre_miRNA from 1 species
GUUUUAUUUGUUUAGCAACAACGUUUAUUUUGGGCAGGAAAUUUUUGGGCAAAUUUCCUGCCCAAAAGAAACGUUGUUGCUAAACAAAAAAA